UACGGAGGAUGCGAGCGUUAUCCGGAUUUAUUGGGUUUAAAGGGUGCGUAGGCUGGUAAUUAAGUCAGUGGUGAAAUACUCCGGCUCAACCGGGGGGCUGCCGUUGAUACUGGUUACCUUGAGUUUAGAUGAUGUGGGCGGAAUGUGUCAUGUAGCGGUGAAAUGCAUAGAGAUGACACAGAACACCGAUAGCGAAGGCAGCUCACAAAGCUAUUACUGACGCUGAUGCACGAAAGCGUGGGGAUCAAACAGGA
rnacentral:rRNA from 1 species